rnacentral:rRNA from 1 species
GCGGAGGAAAAGAAAAUAACAAUGAUUCCCCCAGUAACGGCGAGUGAACAGGGAAAAGCUCAAAGUUGGAAUCUCCUGGUCUUAGAUUAGGCGAAUUGUAAACUAAAGCUCUCGAGUAGUUCGGCUAGCCUGGUAAACAAGUUCUCUGGAAAGGGACGACAAAGAGGGUGAAAUCCCCGUUUUUGGCCGGAGCAUAGUCUUGCGUUUGCUCGGAAGCGAAGAGUCAGGUUGUUUGGUAUUGCAGCCUAAAGUGGGAGGUAAAUCUCUCCUAAAGCUAAAUAUUGACGAAAGACCGAUAGCGAACAAGUACCGUGAGGGAAAGAUGAAAAGCACCUUGAAAAGGGGGUCAAAAAGUACGUGAAAUUGCUGAAAGGGAACCGUAUGAAAUCAGCUUGUCUCUUUAGUAAUCAGUCUGGGCUUUGGCCUGGAUGCACUUGCUAGUGAGUCAGCCUACGACAGUUUGAUUUGGAGGAAAAAAUCAUGGAGAAUGUGGCCUUGGCUUCGGUGGAGGUGUUAUAGCUCUUUGAAAAAUACUCUGGGUUGGACUGAGGACUGCAGCGAGCCUUCGGGAUGGACUGUGGGUGCUUGGCUUUUGCUAGGAAAGAAUCUCUGCUUCGGGUGGUGCUUUUCUAGUAAGGGUCAACUCGCCUACUUUUCCUUUUUCUCGCUUAGGUCGUAGGCAUAAUGAUUUUAUACGAC